rnacentral:rRNA from 1 species
UAGGGAAUCUUCCACAAUGGACGCAAGUCUGAUGGAGCAACGCCGCGUGAGUGAAGAAGGGUUUCGGCUCGUAAAGCUCUGUUGGUAGUGAAGAAAGAUAGAGGUAGUAACUGGCCUUUAUUUGACGGUAAUUACUUAGAAAGUCACGGCUAACUACGUGCCAGCAGCCGCGGUAAUACGUAGGUGGCAAGCGUUGUCCGGAUUUAUUGGGCGUAAAGCGAGUGCAGGCGGUUCAAUAAGUCUGAUGUGAAAGCCUUCGGCUCAACCGGAGAAUUGCAUCAGAAACUGUUGAACUUGAGUGCAGAAGAGGAGAGUGGAACUCCAUGUGUAGCGGUGGAAUGCGUAGAUAUAUGGAAGAACACCAGUGGCGAAGGCGGCUCUCUGGUCUGCAACUGACGCUGAGGCUCGAAAGCAUGGGUAGCGAACAGG